UACGUAGGGGGCGAGCGUUGUCCGGAUUUAUUGGGCGUAAAGAGCGUGUAGGCGGCCAGGUAGGUCUGCUGUGAAAACUCGAGGCUCAACCUCGAGACGUCGGCGGAAACCAUCUGGCUAGAGUCCGGAAGAGGAGAGCGGAAUUCCUGGUGUAGCGGUGAAAUGCGUAGAGAUCGGGAGGAACAUCCGUGGCGAAGGCGACUACCUGGACCAGCACUGACACUGAGGCACGAAAGCGUGGGGAGCAAACAGG
rnacentral:rRNA from 1 species